rnacentral:rRNA from 1 species
AGGGGUGCUACCGGGUGACCGGAUGCCGAUCUCGAAAACCUGUCCCAGUUCGGACUGGAGUCUGCAACCCGACUCCACGAAGUUGGAUUCGCUAGUAAUCGCGCAUCAGCCAUGGCGCGGUGAAUACGUUCCCGGGCCUUGUACACACCGCCCGUCAAGCCAUGGGAGCCGGGGGCGCCUGAAGUCCGGGACCGCGAGGACCGGCCUAGGGCGAAACUGGUGACUGGGGCUAAGUCGUAACAAGGUAAC